GAGCCGCGGCAGAGGCGCCGGCAAGCUGCCAUCCGUCAAGCAGCGUAGGUGGUGGAGCGCUAUUGUUUUAUUCCUUUCAUUUUUGUUGCGCGCACAGUUACUGACCGAAGUUAUCAAAGGUCAUUGUUACUUGAAACAUUUGAAUUUUUUGUAUUAAAAAAUGACGGGGCACUUAAUUGCUAUAAUGAUUCAGUUUCAUUUUUAGGUUCCAGUUUAGCUGUCCUGUACCGGGUAAACCUACAGCAUACGCUAAAGGAGGACCCUUUCAUAUGUAAAGUGGGGUGACCAUAUUUAGCUUUGCAAAAACAAGACACUUGGAACAGGACACAAAGAGAGGCAACGCCAAUAUGCACACAGAAAGUAUUAUGACUGUAGAAAGCAAAUGUCAACACGAAAUCCGUGACAUUUAUGGUCCCAAUAAAAGAGGACAUAGGGUUAUACUAAUUUUUGCAUAAUUAAGUUUGUUAUCAUGCUACACUCAAUGUUUUUGUCAGGAUAGAAUUGCUGAUUAAAUAGUUAAUUAAAAUUACUACAUACUGCGGUGAACUUUCGGGUCAUUAUCAAGAAGUAGCUGUACGUGUCCCCAUCCGAUUUAACAGUUGUGUAAUAUGUAUGAGUUUCAGUCUCUAGGCCAGUACAACCAUGACAUGAUUGAAGAUGGGUGAAUGGAUUGUUAGUAUGAGUUUUACUUAACCUUCUACUUUAUCCAGUUUAAUACCACAGGUAAAUGACAGACAUUUCUCUGCAGAUCAUCUGUUUAGGCUGUCUGUCAGUCCAGUGGGCUGUGAACCUUAUAAAACUGCAUCUCCUACACAACCAACAGUCAGUGGUUGUAGUAAUGUGCUCUGCUUUACCUAUUUCCUCUAGCAGAUUUUUCUUCAUGUGUUGGGCAGCCUCAGCGAUCCUUGUCCUUAGAGGGAACUUUGAAAUGAUGGUGGAAUUUAGCUAUAGUCAGCGGUGAGGGGGACCAGGACAUGCCGGUCUCAGUGAGGGAAGCAGGUCAGGUUCAGGUUCUGGGGAAUGGAAAGGGAGCGGGUAAGGAGAACACACUAGCCAGGCAGACCCGGCGAGGGGAAAAGGGUAGACACAAGCCACAGAAACGCUCGGUACGUCUCAAAGUCAUUUGGCUCAUUGUGCCUGGGCUUCUUGGUUCCUUUUGAAGGUCCAGUAAUCAGCAGUGAUGCUGCUCACCAGGUGGGUCCUGCCUGCAUGGGCGUGACAAGUGCUACAUGACUGCACUUUAUGAACCAGACAAUGAUCUUUGUUAGACUUUGUUACUGGACCCUUGUUAGUGGAAAGCACACUCGUGCCUAUGAGAAUCUCUUAUACACAAGUCGCCUAAAACAACUGACUGAGUGUCAUAUUAGAUGUCUGUAGGAAAUGCUGAAAGCGAUAUUGAUAUAAUGUGGAUAAAUAUAUUUCCAUGUUGUAUCAAACAAUUAGCACAUCAUAAGAAUAUGAAAAUCAGGGGCUUAUCAACUGGAUAUCAUUCUUCCAUGGAUGCAAAUAAAAUCGUCGAAAAAAAGUCGAAAAAUCUGGGAGGGGGGGGACACACACUUUUUGCACACAAAUUAGGUUUACUCCUUCUAUUUUACCAAAUAUUGGCCGAUAUCUGAAGUUUACUAAUAAAUCAUGCAUUUGUAGUAUGUGUGUCAUGCCCGGCUCGUCCGAUCCUCGUGUGUGCCACUCCCCCUGAUUAUCCACAUGUGCUUCCCUGAUCUUGCCCAGCUGUGUCCUAUUAUUAGUCUUCUCUAUUUCAGUCCAUGUCUUGCCUUAGUUUUGGUCCGUCAUUGAUGUUAGGUUAUGUUAGUCUAUGUCUGACGUUUCCUGGUCCCCGUAAUAAAUCCCCGCGUUUCGCCUGCUUCCUGCCCGUUCGCCUUAACCGCGCACCUUGACAAUGUGGGUAUUCAUUUACAUCUGUGUACAUGGGGCAUCGAAUAAUUGUGCUAAUGUGUUAAAAUCUGUAUGUAAUUUCUGCUUACCUGACAUACCACUUAUGCUGCUUCUUUUGAAACUAGACCUGCUAGUUUCCCUUUGGAGUGUCAUGACCCGUCUCCCUCUAUGGCUCAUUCACAGGGGACCCCCGAAAGCUUGACCAUGCACCUCCAUGUAGGAGCAUUCGGUGGUAUACCCCACAUUUGCAGAGGACUUCCUGUUGAUGUACAGGACCUUCCUCAGCAGCCCCCUGAUUGUGGCAGAGAAGUUGUUGGGAUGGUUUAAUGAUCCCAGGCUCAAGGACAGGGUAUGUGGCCGCUCUUCCUCCCCAGGAAUGGGUGACAUUUUUCACUGCAUGCUUCAAAGAUCUGAUAUUCAUUCAAAAAGGAAUAUUAGCAGGUUGGUUUCCAGUAUCUUUUUUUUUUUUUUUUUCUUGGUUUGGCGCUGCUUUUCUUAUUUUUAAAGUCAUAGCUAUUUGGAAGAAUUAAAACACAAGAAGGCAUCCAGUAUGAGCUUGAAACCAAAAAUGUUGAUAUUUGGCAGUUUGACCUUCCGCCUUCUAAUUUUUCCAACCUAAGGUUACCUGGAUAGUGUUGCUCUGGGUAAAUAAUCAUGUCAGUGACUUUGAUGGAGACCCUGAAAUGAUUUAGUUCCUGGAAGAAUUUGAGUAACCUGGAAAGAGCAGUUAGUGCAAUCUUAUCGCUUUUUUUAAUUAUAGGGAGACUUGGUCCUACUGUGUCCUCACUGGUAUUGUUUGAAGGAUUGUAGAGAUAAGAUGUGUUUUUAAACAGAAAAUGAACAGGCAUUUGAAACUCCUAAAUAUAGCCCGUUCUGUCAAAGUCAGACUGAGGGUGGUGACUCUCACCAAACCCUUGAGGGGCACCCUGCUGCCCUUCAUACUACUGGGUGACUGAGAAAGGCUUCGGCAUCUUCAUUGACCACACUGAGGCCGGCUUAGUAGGAUGCACUGUGACUUUGUUGUUAACUGGGGAGAAGGAGUGAAUCUCUUAACUCCUCUACAGAAUUGCAACAAACAACGUUCCCCCAUUGAUGCAAAAAUCUUGCUCCUCUUCCAGAUGUUGAAGGUGAACGGCCAGAACUUCCAGAAUUUUAUGCUUCUGAAGCUGUAUUUUGUGGUUAUUUUAUCCCAUUUUAUGCUUUCUCACAAAGAAAAUCUUCAUUUUAAAUGACCAGGUUCUUCCUAUUUACCUCCUUUCAGAUAUCAUCAUCCUCUUGUCGCAUCAUGUGACUUAAAAAUUCUGUUCUUCCACAGUGUUCAAGGAGCUUCUCUUCCAGUGGAUGGAGGAGAAAACAAACAGGGUCAUCCAAGACUUGGCUGUGGACAAGACCAAAAAUUCAACCGUGGCCACUCUUACCGUCAGCGACCUGGAUCUUCUGCAGUCUCUUCGCCAUAUCCAGGCCCUCAUCAGCGUGCUUGUUCAGCGCAGAGGAGGUGGCCAUGCAGCUCUCCAUGAGAAACUUUGACGGCCUGUUCAAGAUCACAUCCAAGACGUGAUCUACGAACCUGAAGAAGUCUGAAGAGCUGGUUAACCAGGAGACCUUCUGGGUGGCAUCAGAGAUCUUGUGUGAAACCAACCAGUUAAGGAGGAUGAAGAUGCCAAAACAGAAUAUUGUCCUUCUAGGCAGGCUACCUUCUUGACUGAGAAGGUUCACUCCUGCUGAGAUUGCCUUUCUCAAAGAGCAUGUGAAGAUGAUGAGCCCACUUGCGAAGGCAGUUGAUGUUCUUCAGGGAGAGGCCAGUGUGAUGAUGGGAUGGGUAGUAUCCACAAUAACACUACUGAAG